ensembl:snRNA U4 U4 spliceosomal RNA
AGCUUUGCGCAGUGGCAGUAUCGUAGCCAAUGAGGUUUAUCCGAGGCGCGAUUAUUGCUAAUUGAAAAAUUUAUGUGUAACGGCACAGGCCCCUCUUCCUCAUGAAGUCCACAGUGGGCUCUGAAAGGAGUUAUUUCUGUCCAUCCUCUUUGA